CUAUAUACUUACAAAAAUUAAAAAUAAAAAGAAGACAAAUUAAAGGCAGUUUGGGUAAAAAAAAAAUUCUGAGAGAAUUCUUUGCCAGAAGACUGGGACUAUAAAAUAUGCUAAAGAAAGUUCUUUAGAAAUGAUACUAAAUGGAAAAUCAGCUCUACAGCAAGAAAUGAAAAGAACUAGAAAUGAUAAAUAUGUGGGAAAAACAAGACAAACUUCAUGGAUAAAUAUAACAAAAUAUGUGGAAGAAUGCAGCACCAAAAAGUAUAAACCAUAUUAAAAAGUUCACAGAAGACUUAAUGAAUGAAGAGAUGUUCAUGGAUUGGAAGAUUCAAACGUGUUAAAAUAUGCGUUCGGCAUUUACCAACAGCGAACAAGCACGAGCAGUGGAACGCAAAAAUGUGUGUGCAUCAAAUGAACAUGAAAAUCUUCACCCAGGUCACCUGCCAGAAUCAGACUAAGGUUCCUGGUAUUUAAUGGAAAGGUUAAAAGAAGUUUACAGCUUUAAUGCCUGUGGCACACUGAUUACUUUUCAAGAUUUUGAGGAUUAAAGCCUCUGAGAGUCUUUCGAGCAAGUUUGAACAGUGGUGUUGGGGAGCAUGAAUGGCAGGUGGCUGGUCUACAAAAUCUCAUCCAGGUUCAAGCUUCUGGACAUGAUGUUAUCAACGCCCCACUCAGAUUUCAUGUUUGAUCCUGAGGAUUCUAUCAUUGCUCUAAUCAAGUCAGAUAUGUGGUUAAUGCUUCACAUUUUUAUUUAAAGCAAGGCUUUUAGUACUAUGUAUGUUUUCAGUUAAACCACAUAGCUGCUCUAGCAUAGUAUUAUUUGUGACCCUAGCUGCUGUCUCCAAAUGCUCAUUGAUAUUCUUGUAAAAAAAAAAAAAAGAAUAAUCAUUGAGGUUCUCUUUCACAAAGCCUCUAUUCUUAUCAAUGGCCAUAUAAUGCUGGUAUCUUUUGGGUCAAAAUGGAAAGAUUUCAUGCUGUACUUUGAAAUACAGUAUUAUUUAGCACAAUAAGUCUAUCACAGGAAAUCUUAAGUUUAAUGUACAAAGCAUAUUUAAAAACCCACAAAAUUGGAAAUUUUUAUGAUCAGAGAUGAAUCCAGUAUUUCGGGUGCAAGCCUUGUUUAAUGUACACCUGCUGAAAACAUUUCAUACAUAAACACAGAUGGAUAUCUCCAUGUAUAUACAUAUAUAUGUAUAUGUGUGUGUGUUUCCAUGUCUGUCUCUAUCUUUAUACCUAACUCGGAAAGUUGAUUACCUUAGUUAUAGUUGGGCAUAUUUUAUCCUCGCUUUUAGCUUACAACAAUUAUGGAAAGUCUGAAUUUUGUUCAUCUGUCUGCAUUUGAACAUGUCAAACAUCUGUUUAUUUGUUCCAGUCAGAAUCAUUUUACCCUAUAAAAGAAUCAAGCAGAAGACUA